rnacentral:lncRNA from 1 species
UCAUCAACAGGCUUGUGUAUGGCUACAAAUCCAUCACAAAUACCUUUGAACUCUUUGGUAUAUUCAUCCAUCUUCUUGCUUCCCAACUUAACAUUUUUGUAGUUAUUGUUUAAGUUGGAACUCCUUGUCCUUUAUAGCUUGAAGGUAGGCCUCUUCCAAACACUCCCAUAUUUUCUUAGCAGUUGAGCAUCCUAUUAUCAAGUACAUGCUCUCCUCAGACAGUGUGCCUGAGAUCCAACUUCUGAGUAAGACAACCUUCUUCUCCCAAUUAUCUUUACUGCUACUAUCUUCAAUAUCCUUCUAGUACUAGUUUCAGUAGCCUUUGUGGUAGGUUUAGUAGAUGGUGAUGUAGUUAUUUCCUUAUUUAUAAGAUAGGUUGGUUUUAAAACCUGAAUCAGCUGCUUCAUUUGUGUCCUCCAUAUCAGAUAGUUAGCUUAAGCUUGAUGGGACAUGAGGCAAUGAGAUGGUAAAGUGAGAAAGUAGAGAGAGUUUUGAUUAAAGGGGCCAUUGCAUCUAUUUUUUGAAGGGAAAGAAAUAGUUUUAAGUUCUCAACACUUUUCCGCAACAAGAGAUGUUCUAUUUCUCUGAUACCAUAUGAAAAACUCAAAAAAAAAAUUGGAAGAAAAUUGAUUAUUUUAUUGAUAAACAAUCGAGAUUACAUAUGCUCAUAUUUAUAGGAGAGAGCUAGCAGGCUAGUGCAAGUAAUACAAGUAUGAUGAGAGUUUAAUUCUAGCUAUACAUAUGCUUAGACUUAUAAUCCUACAAGAACUAAAUUAGUAUAGUUACUGCUCAAUUAUGUAACUGAUUCAUGGCUACUCAUACUCUUAAUCAAACACUGCUUAUUAUCCCUAUGUUCAACAAUGUUCGUCAAGCAAGCUUCUGGACUUAAAAUGACAGUGUUCACCCUAUUUUCUAGGCGAAUUCCUAAAAUCAAAAUCUAAUAGUGAACUAGAACAAAAUUUAUCUUAAAGGGAUUAUGCUAAAGAAAGAUCUCAUUUUCCAGGAGGGUCCUGAAUAGAAAAUAAAGUCUCAUUGUUCAAGAGGUUCCUGCUAAUCUCAUUCUUCAGGAGGGUCCUGCUAAUCUCAUUUCUAGGAGGGUCCCAAUAUUUUUAUUUAUAUAAGUGUUUCGAUUAAUAAUUCUAUUUAUAGGAGGGUUCUGAAUAGCCGUCAUUCUCCAGAAGUGUCCUGCUAAUCCCACUUUUUAGAAGGGCCCUGCUGAUCCUAUUUCUAAGAGAGUUCUGAAAAUCUCAUUUCUAUAAGAGUCUCGAUUGAUAAUCCCAUUUCUAGAAGGGUCUCGAACAGAAAAUUAAAGUCUUACUUUCCAGAAGGGUCCUACUAAGUCUAUUCUUCAUGAGGGUCAUGUUAAUCCCAUGUCUAGGAGGGUCCCAAACAGAAAAUUAAAAUCACAUUUCUAGAAGGGUUCUGAACAAAAAGUAAAGUCUCCCUUUUUUUAGAAGGGUUCUAAACAGAAAAUAAAGUUUCAGUUUUUUAGGAGGGUUCUGAACAAAAAGUAAAGUCUCAUUUCGCAUGAGGAUCCUAAACAGAAAGUAAAGCCCCAUCUUCUAGGAGGAUCAUGAAUAGAAAAAUAAAAUUUUAUUUUUUAGAAGGGUCCUGAAUAGAAAAUAAAGUCUCAUUUACCAUGAGGAUCCUGAAUAGAAAGUAAAGUUUCAUUUUUCAAGAGGAUCCUAAACAGAAAAUAAAGUGCAUUUUUCAGGAGGGUUCUGAACAGAAAAUAAAGUCUUAUUUUUUAGGAAAAGGCUCAUUUUUCAGUAGGGCUUUGAAUAAAAAAUAAGUUUCAUUUUUCAGAAGGGUCUUGAACAAACAAUAAAGUCUCAUUUUUCAGGAGGAUCCUGAUUAGAAAGUAAAGUCCCACUUUCUAAGAGGAUCUUGAACUGAAAGUAAAGUCUCAUUUUUCAGGACUAUUAUGAACAAAAAGUGAAGUACCAUUUUUCAAAAGGAUCCUGAACAAAAAAUUAAAGUCCCAAAUAACCGGAAUAAAUUGUUUCCCCAGUUUAUUAUCAUAAAAUUUUGGUGAGUGUCAAACUAACUCAUAACUACUUGAAAAAUACACAAUCCAAAGGUGAAUCAAGGCUCUGACCAAUAAAUGCAUAUCUUGAGGAUAAAACUGAAUGACCAAGUCUAGAAAGUGUAUCUCCUAGGAGUUAAUUAAAGGACUCUGACUAGAAAGUGUAUCUUCAAGGAGAAAAGGUUCAAAUUAAAAAGUGCAUUUCCUAUAAAUGAAAUGUAAAAGAUCCAAAAUAGAGAGUGCGUCUCUUAGGGGUUAAAUUAAAGGAUUGUAUUAGAAAGUGCAUAUUUCCAGGAUUGAAUUGAUAAAUUUCAACUAGAAAAUGAUCUUCUAAGAAUUGAGUUAAUCGACUCUAACUAGAAAGUGUGACUUCUUGGAGUAAAAAUUCAAACUAGGAAGAGUGUAUUCUACAAAUGAAAUUUGAAAGAUACUAACUAGAAAGUGUGUCUCUUAGGGGUAAAGGAAUAUGAAUUUUAUCAUGAUUGUGAUUAUAAAAUCUGUAUAGUAAUAUUGCCUCUUGUAUUUGCAGAAGUGAAAAAAUUACAUCUUUUGAUAUCUAGUCUUUGAAGCCCUUAAUUUGAAGGCAACACGUAUUCCUGUUUUAUACAAAGAAAACUUGUGAAUUGAAGAACAUGAUGGUUGAUUUAUGGUUUUAGAUUUUGAGUCAAUUGCUCUUGUACUUGUCACAUUUAACUAGCUUCAAACUAUUGGCGUAUGUAAUUAACUUGUUGCACCAUUAACCCAAAUUCAGGCUAUUAAGAGUGACUCUGACGCAAAUACGUAUUCCAUCAAGGACCCAAACUCUGGCUAUCAAAAGUGACUGUGACGCAGAGAAUAUACCUCUGUCUCAUCAUUUCUUCAAACUAAACUUUAUUGAAA